AGACGGAACAACCUUCUCAUUCCGAGCCUGCAAGAGAUGAUCAGCCUCGGAGUUUGAAUCCUAAAAACGAAAAAAAUUUUGAAGGGGUGCGUGUGGAGGAUUAUGGGAAGGAAUUAAUUAAUGCAAGAAUUAUGGUUUGGUGGCCGUUGGACAGAACGUUUUACACCGGCACUGUCGUGUCGUAUGAUCCUGAACAGAAAAAGCACAUGGUUCUCUACGAUGAUGACGAUGAGGAGACGCUGGACCUAAAGAAUGAAAGAUGGGAAUUCUUUAAAGAAAGACAUUAAGCAUUUUCUUGGCAUCCUAAAGCUUUCUGGGAACUGCGUCCAUUUUAGACGCAACAGGCUCCAGCCAACAACGCCCAUGCC